AGCUCCAAUAGCGUAUAUUAAAGUUGUUGCAGUUAAAAAGCUCGUAGUUGGAUUUCGGAACGGGCCAGUUGGUCCGCCGCAAGGUGAGUUACUGACUGGUCUGUUCUUCUUCGCAAAGACUGCGUGUGCUCUUCAUUGAGUGGGCGUAGGAUUUACGACGUUUACUUUGAAAAAAUUAGAGUGUUCAAAGCAGGCAAUCGCUUGAAUACAUGAGCAUGGAAUAAUGGAAUAGGACUUUGGUCCUAUUUUGUUGGUUUCUAGGACCGAAGUAAUGAUUAAGAGGGACAAUUGGGGGCAUCCGUAUUUCGUUGUCAGAGGUGAAAUUCUUGGAUUUACGAAAGACGAACAACUGCGAAAGCACUUGCCAAGAGUGUUUUCAUUAAUCAAGAACGAAAGUACG
rnacentral:rRNA from 1 species